rnacentral:lncRNA from 1 species
CUCCCUCUUCUCCUUCGUGACUAGUAUGAGUAUCCAAAAUUGCAUAGGUUUUCGGGUUUGGGUGAUCGUAAUUUUUGUAGUUUUUAGGUUUUAGUAAGGGUUUCCAAGUUUGGGUGAUCGUAUUUACAGCAUUUUUUUGGGUAUUUUUUGUAGUUUUUAGGUUUGGGUGAUCGUAUUUACAGCAUUUUUUUGAUUUUUUAGAAGAAUUUUUUUUUUUUUUUGGUCAAUGCCUUAAGAGAAUAAGGUAACCAAUCGCAGGCCGCCACGUGGGGCCCAGAAAUAGUAAAAUACCAAGGCAGAGGACGUCCCUCUUCAAUUUUUUCUUUUUGAUUUUUUUUUUCUUUUUGGGUGGGGGACUAGGCAAGGACGGGCCAAUGCCCAUGCUCUUAGAGGUUUUGGUUAACAAAACUAGGCAGCAGUUGUUAAAAGAUAUUCUGUUCAAACUUUAAAGAGUGGCUAGAUCUGCUUGUUUUGGUGGUUUUAACAAAGAAGAUGAAUCCGAUCUGUUAGAUUCCAGGUGUGGGUUGUGUAAAACGUCGUCUUGCUCCCAAACGUAGAUCUGGUAGCAGCUCGUGUGCUUGUAUUCGUUUUUUCCGCCAGGAGAGUCUAGACGUGAGCUCCAACCUUUAGCCCUCUGCUUGCUAUUUACCCCUUCAGCGUAUUUGUUCUCUAUUUACGUCUAUUGCUUGUCGGGUUUUGAAGUCCUUGUUCUUGGUUUCGAGAGAUUGGCUCUCUUUAUGAUAGGAGGAGGUUGAGUUUAUCAUUGGUUUGGCCAUAGGUAUCCUUGGUAAACCACAUUCAUUGGUUUCUUUUAAGAAGAAGUCGCUUUGCUUCCUUGGGAUCUAUCUUUUUCAGUUUUAAUUCAUGUUGCUUUCUAGCUUAGUGUUAGGUUUAGACCGCUUUCAAGUUGUGUUUAAAAGUUCUGAUUUGUAUUUCUAGUUUGUGGUGUCUCCUUUGUUUGGAGUUUAGUUAGUUUUUGGGAAAAUCUUGUCUUCCUCGGGCCUUUGUCUCCGAGGAAAUUUAUGUUAUCCGCCAGAUUUAGUCUCCCUUUUUUGGGCAUUUGUAUUCAGGGCCGGUUCUAGGAUAUUAGAGGCCUAUAUCAAUUUUUACA